rnacentral:tRNA from 1 species
GCCGAAGUGGUGGAAUUGGCAGACACGCACGACUCAAAAUCGUGUGGGCUCAGCCCAUGAGGGUUCGACUCCCUCCUUCGGCACCA